GAUGAACGCUGGCGGCGUGCCUAAUACAUGCAAGUCGAGCGAACAGACGAGGAGCUUGCUCCUCUGACGUUAGCGGCGGACGGGUGAGUAACACGUGGAUAACCUACCUAUAAGACUGGGAUAACUUCGGGAAACCGGAGCUAAUACCGGAUAAUAUAUUGAACCGCAUGGUUCAAUAGUGAAAGACGGUUUUGCUGUCUCUUAUAGAUGGAUCCGCGCCGCAUUAGCUAGUUGGUAAGGUAACGGCUUACCAAGGCAACGAUGCGUAGCCGACCUGAGAGGGUGAUCGGCCACACGGGAACUGAGACACGGACCAGACUCCUACGGGAGGCAGCAGAAGGGAAUCGGCCGCAAUGGGCGAAAGCCUGACGGAGCAACGCCGCGUGAGAGAUGAAGGUCUUCGGAUCGUAAAAAUCUGUUAUUAGGGAAGAACAAAUGUGUAAGUAACUAUGCACGUCUUGACGGUACCUAAUCAGAAAGCCACGGCUAACUACGUG
rnacentral:rRNA from 1 species